AAUGGAGGCAACUCUGAACCAGCCAUGCCGCGUGCAGGAUGACGGCCCUAUGGGUUGUAAACUGCUUUUGUACCAGAGAAAACCUACUCACGUGUGAGUAGCUGAUAGUAUGGUAAGAAUAAGCAUCGGCUAACUUCGUGCCAGCAGCCGCGGUAAGACGAAGGAUGCAAGCGUUAUCCGGAUUCAUUGGGUUUAAAGGGUGCGUAGGCGGACUUGUAAGUCAGUGGUGAAAUCUCUUCGCUUAACGAAGAAACUGCCAUUGAUACUGCAGGUCUAGAGUAUAGAUGACGUUGGCGGAAUAUGACAUGUAGUGGUGAAAUACUUAGAUAUGUCAUAGAACACCGAUUGCGAAGGCAGCUAACGAAACUAUAACUGACGCUGAGGCACGAAAGUGCGGGGAUCAAA
rnacentral:rRNA from 1 species